AAUUUUACACGGAUAACUGUGGUAAUUCUAGAGCUAAUACGUGCAACCAGCUCGUUCCCUUGUGGAGCGAGCGCAGUUAUUAGAACAAGACCAAUCCGGCCUUCGGGUCGGUACAAUUGGUGACUCUGAAUAACCGAAGCGGAGCGCAUGGUCUCGUACCGGCGCCAGAUCUUUCAAGUGUCUGACUUAUCAGCUUGUUGUUAGGUUAUGUUCCUAACAAGGCUUCAACGGGUAACGGGGUAUCAGGGUCCGAUACCGGAGAGGGAGCCUGAGAAACGGCUACCACAUCCAAGGAAGGCAGCAGGCGCGCAAAUUACCCACUCCUAGCACAGGGAGGUAGUGACGAAAAAUAACGAUGCGAGGGCUAAUAGCUUCUCGUAAUCGGAAUGGGUACACUUUAAAUCCUUUAACGAGGAUCUAUUGGAGGGCAAGUCUGGUGCCAGCAGCCGCGGUAAUUCCAGCUCCAAUAGCGUAUAUUAAAGUUGCUGCGGUUAAAAAGCUCGUAGUUGGAUCUGGGCUUCUGAAUGGAUGGUUCACUUUACGGUGUAACUGUUCGUUUGGUGCCACAAGCCGGCCAUGUCUUGCAUGCCCUUUACUGGGUGUGCAUGGCGACCGGAACGUUUACUUUGAAAAAAUUAGAGUGCUCAAAGCAGGCGUAUGGCCUUGCAUAAUGGUGCAUGGAAUAAUGGAAUAGGACCUCGGUUCUAUUUUGUUGGUUUUCGGAACUCGAGGUAAUGAUUAAGAGGAACAGACGGGGGCAUUCGUAUUGCGGCGUUAGAGGUGAAAUUCUUGGAUCGUCGCAAGACGAACUACUGCGAAAGCAUUUGCCAAGAAUGUUUUCAUUAAUCAAGAACGAAAGUUAGAGGUUCGAAGGCGAUCAGAUACCGCCCUAGUUCUAACCAUAAACGAUGCCAACCAGCGAUCCGUCGGUGUUUUUUUUAUGACUCGACGGGCAGCUUUCCGGGAAACCAAAGUGCUUAGGUUCCGGGGGAAGUAUGGUUGCAAAGCUGA
rnacentral:rRNA from 1 species